CCUGACGGUAGUCGUAUGCUCGUCUCCGAGACUAAGCCAUGCAAGUCCAAGUACACGUCCUUGAACGACGGAAACUGCGAACGGCUCAUUAAAUCAGUUGCGAUCUACUCGGCGUUCCGCGCCGCCGGAUAACCGUAGUAAUUCUAGGGCUAAUACGUGCGAAGCGCCCGAAGCCGCGAGGCGACGGGCGUUCUCGCCGGAUGUAGGAACCGACCCGGGGACCGCCGGGGGCAACCCGGCGCCCCCGAGACGGGGCGAACCACGGUGAAAUGACGGAUCGUCGGCCCCGCGCCGGCGACUCGCCGAAUGAGUUUCUGACCUAUCAACUCGAGACGGCGGGGUAGAGGCCCGCCGCGGUAACGACGGGUAACGGGGAAUCAGGGUUCGAUUCCGGAGAGGGAGCCCGAGAAACGGCUACCACUUCCAAGGAAGGCAGCAGGCGCGCAACUUACCCUAAUCUCGAUUCGAGGAGGU
rnacentral:rRNA from 1 species